UUUUCCUGAUGACCCCUCACGUUCGUCCACCUUCUUUUCUUUUCCCAUACUCCCUCGCAACACCUUUCUCCAGUGCACCCUCGUGCUGACUUCCUCCUCUCUCACAUCCCACGGUCCCGUAAGACCACCAUGCCCUAAAUCCUUCUUCCCCUAAUGCCGCACGAACCUCUACCUAUCGUCGCACGAACAACUUGCCUACCGUCAUGCGCACAACAUACCUCAGCUCGUCUCGUGCAUCCAUUUUAACGUCCUCUCGUGCACCCACUUAGCUAUUGUCGUCUCGUGCACCCUUCUUACCUAUUGCGGUGUGCGAUCUGUCCUCCCCCAUCGCCGUGCGCGACCGAGGUCUAUAGCCGGCAACCACCAUCUCGCGACCGCGCCUUCACGACAUCACCCAUUCCCUCACCUUGCUGCUGCAACCUCUCGCCGCUCCGUCUCCCUCGAUCACCUGCUACGACCACUACAAUAGCCAUCGUCUCUCCCCUCUCCUCACCUCUCCCAGCUCUCUGCCUCUCUUUCGCUCACCUCAUCCUGCAGCAAUGCAUCCUUUGCAGUUCCCAAUGCUCUCCACUCCAUCCAGGCAACAACCCAGCCUCCACACAACCAGAUCUCUUCAUUUGAAUCUCUCCCACUCCCGCAUGACAUUACCCAUUCCCUUCCUCCGCUUUCCACCUCCUUGCUCUUCUUCAACUGACUAGUAUCCACGACCUCCAACUUGCAAUCACCUUCAGUCAUAGCCAUCUCCGCCUCCUCCUCCACUAUCGCCACUUCCUGUUGCAGCCACCUCCCCUGCCAUUUCCAUUCUCUCUGCCACCCAUCUUCUCUGUCACCACUUGCCCGCCACCCUCAUCUCUGCUCUUCCUCUGCUGCUCCAUUCUCAUCCUUCAUCUUUCAUCACUAUUUGCGCCACCUCUGCAGUCCCAUUUCGGCUGUCUCACUACCCCAUCUCAAUUACGGCACCUCUUGUUGGCUGUCCCUGUCCCUCCAUUUUGCGAGUUACCUUUGCCACUCGCAGCCAUAGCUCACCCAUCUUCUUCUCCACCACCAGCAACCAAAUAGCGAGCUUCUCGCUGCAACCUUCUGCUUCUUCUCUCUCUCUCUCUAGAAACUAAAUUUAU
rnacentral:lncRNA from 1 species